CCUAGCAGCUGUGCCGCUCCUCACUGGUGACCCCUGGGGGGCGACCCAGGCGGAGAGCAGGAAAAGGGGUCAGGCCCCGGCAGCUGGUGUCGGCCCCUGAAGCCUUUAUGGGACUCGUGAGGGACCAGAGAGGACGGUGAUGAGGAAGGCCCCCUCCCCUCUUCCCCACGCGGCCUGGAGUGGGCGCACCUGGAGCAGCCUGCAGGCUGGUCUGUGCCACGAAGGGCCACGCUGCCCAUGUUUCCAGCGAGUUCCCGCUCCCCACGUGUGCCGGGGAAGAGCCUGUCCUGGAACAGGGUGGACAGCCCGCAGGAGGUGGGGUUCAAGCUCGUCUCUGAGAAAGGAGAUCUCGAACAAGUCGUCCGACGCCACGGGAGAGGACGAAACGCUUCCGGCGCUGGUUGUGGAAGACGUCCCGGCGUCUGCCGUCGUCCUCAGUGCCCGAGACCCCGUGCCCAGGCGCUCAGCGGGAGCCGGACCUCAGCCCGAGGAUCUGGGGUUCAGGGUCUGCCCUGGGACCCCAACACAGCACCAAAGGCUCGCAGGUAGAGGAUCAGCUUGGUCCAGAAGUCGGCCCAGUCUCGCUCCCGGAUCUGGAUGGCGUUUGCCUGCGGGGAGACCAGGAAGGUGGCGUCAGGCGGGCCCGGCUGUGCAGGGGGGCUGGCUGAGGGCACAGCUGCAGGCUUCUUGGGGACAGCUUACCGUGGGUGUGGCCGGGCUCACGGGCAGGCAUGCCUGCAGUUUCUGCGGGAGAGACCGGAGCAGACAGUCAGAGAUUCCCCCGGAAAGGAGGCGGCCCCGCUGCCCCUCCCCAGACGCAGGGCAGGACCCACACGGGGAACACCCCCCACACUCAAUAGCUUCACACACCUGUAGAUUUUUCUUGAUUCCCGAUCCUUUCUCCUGGAAAUUCUUGAUAGCGUUCAGGAAGGCGUCCAGGUUUGGCCUCAGAAGGUUUUGUUCCUGAGGGGACAAGGAAUACACGCAAGGGGGGAAGGUCAGGGACUGUCGUG
rnacentral:lncRNA from 1 species